CCUACGGGAGGCAGCAGUGGGGAAUUUGGACAAUGGGCGAAAGCCUGAUCCAGCAAUGCCGCGUGCAGGAUGAAGGCCUUCGGGUUGUAAACUGCUUUUGUACGGAACGAAACGGUUCGCCUUAAUACGGUGGGCUAAUGACGGUACCGUAAGAAUAAGCACCGGCUAACUACGUGCCAGCAGCCGCGGUAAUACGUAGGGUGCGAGCGUUAAUCGGAAUUACUGGGCGUAAAGCGUGCGCAGGCGGUUAUAUAAGACAGAUGUGAAAUCCCCGGGCUCAACCUGGGACCUGCAUUUGUGACUGUAUAGCUAGAGUACGGUAGAGGGGGAUGGAAUUCCGCGUGUAGCAGUGAAAUGCGUAGAUAUGCGGAGGAACACCGAUGGCGAAGGCAAUCCCCUGGACCUGUACUGACGCUCAUGCACGAAAGCGUGGGGAGCAAACAGGAUUAGAUACCCUGGUAGUCCACGCCCUAAACGAUGUCAACUGGUUGUUGGGUCUUCACUGACUCAGUAACGAAGCUAACGCGUGAAGUUGACCGCCUGGGGAGGUACGGCCGCGAGUAGAACGUACGAAAGAAGUAGACGGCGUGAGACGAGCCGACGGACGACGACGAGGGAGGAGG
rnacentral:rRNA from 1 species